rnacentral:rRNA from 1 species
AGUGAACGCUGGCGGUAGGCCUAACACAUGCAAGUCGAACGGCAGCACAGUAAGAGCUUGCUCUUACGGGUGGCGAGUGGCGGACGGGUGAGGAAUACAUCGGAAUCUACUUUUUCGUGGGGGAUAACGUAGGGAAACUUACGCUAAUACCGCAUACGACCUACGGGUGAAAGCAGGGGAUCUUCGGACCUUGCGCGAUUGAAUGAGCCGAUGUCGGAUUAGCUAGUUGGCGGGGUAAAGGCCCACCAAGGCGACGAUCCGUAGCUGGUCUGAGAGGAUGAUGAGCCACAGUGGAACUGAGACACGGUCCAGACUCCUACGGGAGGCAGCAGUGGGGAAUAUUGGACAAUGGGCGCAAGCCUGAUCCAGCCAUACCGCGUGGGUGAAGAAGGCCUUCGGGUUGUAAAGCCCUUUUGUUGGGAAAGAAAAGCAGCAGGUUAAUACCCCGCUGUCCUGACGGUACCCAAAGAAUAAGCACCGGCUAACUUCGUG